rnacentral:rRNA from 1 species
ACGCUGGCGGCAGGCCUAACACAUGCAAGUCGAGCGGAAACGACACUAACAAUCCUUCGGGUGCGUUAAUGGGCGUCGAGCGGCGGACGGGUGAGUAAUGCCUAGGAAAUUGCCUUGAUGUGGGGGAUAACCAUUGGAAACGAUGGCUAAUACCGCAUAAUGCCUACGGGCCAAAGAGGGGGACCUUCGGGCCUCUCGCGUCAAGAUAUGCCUAGGUGGGAUUAGCUAGUUGGUGAGGUAAUGGCUCACCAAGGCGACGAUCCCUAGCUGGUCUGAGAGGAUGAUCAGCCACACUGGAACUGAGACACGGUCCAGACUCCUACGGGAGGCAGCAGUGGGGAAUAUUGCACAAUGGGCGAAAGCCUGAUGCAGCCAUGCCGCGUGUAUGAAGAAGGCCUUCGGGUUGUAAAGUACUUUCAGUUGUGAGGAAGGGGGUAKYGUUAAUAGCGSYAYCUCUUGACGUUAGCAACAGAAGAAGCACCGGCUAACUCCGUGCCAGCAGCCGCGGUAAUACGGAGGGUGCGAGCGUUAAUCGGAAUUACUGGGCGUAAAGCGCAUGCAGGUGGUUCAUUAAGUCAGAUGUGAAAGCCCGGGGCUCAACCUCGGAACUGCAUUUGAAACUGGUGAACUAGAGUACUGUAGAGGGGGGUAGAAUUUCAGGUGUAGCGGUGAAAUGCGUAGAGAUCUGAAGGAAUACCAGUGGCGAAGGCGGCCCCCUGGACA